rnacentral:rRNA from 1 species
ACCCGCACAAGCGGUGGAUGAUGUGGAUUAAUUCGAUGCAACGCGAAAACCUUACCACCUUUGACAUGUACGGAAUCCUUUAGAGAUAGAGGAGUGCUCGAAAGAGAGCCGUAACACAGGUGCUGCAUGGCUGUCGUCAGCUCGUGUCGUGAGAUGUUGGGUUAAGUCCCGCAACGAGCGCAACCCUUGUCAUUAGUUGCUACAUUUGGUUGGGCACUCUAGUGAGACUGCCGGUGACAAACCGGAGGAAGGUGGGGAUGACGUCAAGUCCUCAUGGCCCUUAUGGGUAGGGCUUCACACGUCAUACAAUGGUCGGUACAGAGGGUUGCCAAGCCGCGAGGUGGAGCCAAUCCCUUAAAGCCGAUCGUAGUCCGGAUCGUAGUCUGCAACUCGACUACAUGAAGUCGGAAUCGCUAGUAAUCGCGGAUCAGCAUGUCGCGGUGAAUACGUUCCCGGGCCUU